AGAAGUCGUAAUAAGGUUUCCGUAGGUGAACCUGCGGAAGGAUCAUUGAAUAUGCAAACCACAACACGCACUCCCUAUUUGUGUACCGACGUUAGGUCAACACACGCAAGUGUGUGGCCUACUAACCUACACACCAUUGACCAACCAAUAAUCAAACCAAACUCUGAAGCUUUGGCUGCUGUUAAUCGGCAGUUUUAACAAAGAACAACUCUCAACAACGGAUAUCUUGGCUCUCGCAACGAUGAAGAACGCAGCGAAAUGCGAUACGUAGUGUGAAUUGCAGAAUUCCGUGAACCAUCGAAUCUUUGAACGCAUAUUGCGCUCGACCCCCCGGGGAAGAGCAUGUCUGCCUCAGCGUCGGUUUACACCCUCACCCCACUUACUUCACAGUAAGCGCUUGCUGCGUUGUAUGACCAGCAACUGGGAUGGAUCUGGCCCUCCCAAUUGAAGCAAUUCGAUUGGGUUGGCUGAAGCACAGAGGCUUAAACUGGGACCCGUACCGGGCUCAACUGGAUAGGUAGCAACACCUUCGGGUGCCUACACGAAGUUGUGUCUGAGGACCUGGUUAGGAGCCAAGCAGGAAACAUGGAAACAUGUACUCUGUAUUCGACCUGAGCUCAGGCAAGGCUACCCGCUGAACUUAAGCAUAUCAAU
rnacentral:misc_RNA from 1 species